rnacentral:rRNA from 1 species
UACAGAGGUCCCAAGCGUUGUUCGGAUUCACUGGGCGUAAAGGGUGCGUAGGUGGUGAGGUAAGUCGGAUGUGAAGGCUCGGAGCUCAACUCCGAAAUGGCAUUGGAAACUACCUUGCUCGAGGGUUGGAGGGGGGACUGGAAUACUUGGUGUAGCAGUGAAAUGCGUAGAUAUCAAGUGGAACACCAGUGGCGAAGGCGAGUCCCUGGACAACUCCUGACACUGAGGCACGAAAGCUAGGGGAGCAAACAGG